UACUCGAGUGGCGAACGGGUGAGUAACACGUGGGUGAUCUGCCCUGCACUCUGGGAUAAGCCUGGGAAACUGGGUCUAAUACCGGAUAGGACCAUGCUUUAGUGUGUGUGGUGGAAAGUUUUUUCGGUGUAGGAUGAGCCCGCGGCCUAUCAGCUUGUUGGUGGGGUAAUGACCUACCAAGGCGGCGACGGGUAGCCGGACUGAGAGGUUGGUCGGCCACAUUGGGACUGAGAUACGGCCCAG
rnacentral:rRNA from 1 species